AAAAAAAACCACAGAAAAAGUCAGUUUACCUCUUUUCCGUGUUCAUUACUGAGGCAAGAACAAAAGGCACCAAGGAAGAGAAAGGAGUGGACUGGGUAGAAAAGAAGGAUGCCAAAGAGAAACUCCUGAAAAUUCCUCCUUGAAAACCGGGUUCAAUCAAGAGAAUAGACAGGGUCUUACUGUACUGCCCAGCCUGGAGUGCAAUGCCACAAUCAUGGUUUAUGGCAGUCUCGAACUACUGGGCUCAAGUGAUCCUUGAGACCGUCUUCCAAGUAGCUGGUACUAUAGGUACAUGCUAAUUUUUUAGUUUUUUUGUAAAUUUGCUAUAUUGCCCAGGCUAGUCUUGAACUCCUGGCCUCAACUGAUCCUCCCACCUCAGCCUCCCAAAGUGCUAGGAUUACAAGCAUGAGCCAUUGCACUUGGCUUCUUCUUACUUUUUAAUGCAGUUAAAAAUUACAUAUAUGUAUUACAUCUGUAGCCCACAUUAUAAUUCCAUUGAAGAGUGCUGAGACAUAAUAUUGACAUACUAUUUCCAUCAAAGAAACUCAGAACAUUUUUAUUAUUUAGAAACAUGCUAUUUUAUACAUACACUGUUAUCUAUACCUCCAAAGAUAGUAAGUACGUACUCAUAAGAAGCUAUAUGUACAAGUUUUCUUAUUAAUUUGCUUGCUACUUAGUCAUUUAUUUUAUCUCUUACUGCUUGCUAAGGGACAAGUGGUAGCAGUCUCUAAAGGUUUAAAAAUAAUUAUGUAAAAACACCAGUAUGCUCUGGCCUGUUAGUCUGACAAACAACGAACUGAUGUCUAAAAUAAAGAACACAUUGUAA